rnacentral:rRNA from 1 species
GUGCCAGCCGCCGCGGUAAUACGGAGGGUGCAAGCGUUGUUCGGAAUCAUUGGGCGUAAAGCGCGCGCAGGCGGUCCAUCAAGUCUGAUGUGAAAUCCCGGGGCUCAACCUCGGACGUGCAUUGGAAACUGGUGGACUCGAGUUUGAGAGAGGUUCGUGGAAUUCCUGGUGUAGGGGUGAAAUCCGUAGAGAUCAGGAGGAACACCGGUGGCGAAGGCGACGGACUGGAUCAACACUGACGCUGAGGCGCGAAAGCGUGGGGAGCAAACAGGAUUAGAUACCCGUGUAGUCC